rnacentral:misc_RNA from 1 species
AGGAAUUUCUGACUAUGCAGACUCAAUGCUUUAACAUCCUCAUGGUGGAAAGCAGAUAUUGCAUCCAAGUAAACCUGGUUUGCAAGCUUGGAAAGUGAUUGUCUGGUUAAAUCCACCAAAUCAUAUCUAUAUGUGAGGCUUCCCGAAAGUUCUUUUCCUGCAUCAAGGAAUAGCUUUAAUGCCUUGAUGACAUCCUCAGUAGAAUACCA